UUGACCCACUACUGAGCGGUCUCACCCUCAUCAGGGACUGGUUUAUAGAGUCAGUGAUAGACUUUAAACCACAUUGUUUUCGGGUCACCUAUUUGUCCAUUUGUUAUCUGGACUCUGUGUGACUGGGGGCUUCAUUAUAUUGAACUGCUUUCCCAGUCAUUUUGGUCCUUUGCCUGCUUUUAUAUUCAGUGAGCUUUUUACACAAUUUUGGGAUUAUCUGUAAAAAACAUCUGGCACUCGAUAUUACCCCUGAGGAAGUCCCAGUUAGGGACGAAACGCGUUGGGUUGUGUUCGAGUACUGUAUUCCAUCUGUAUUCUAUACUACUAAGGAAGAUU